rnacentral:rRNA from 1 species
GUCCACGCCGUAAACUAUCAAUACUCGUUUUCAGCGAUAUACAGUUGGAGACUAAGCGAAAGUGAUAAGUAUUGCACCUGGGGAGUACGAUCGCAAGGUUGAAACUCAAAGGAAUUGACGGGGGCCCGCACAAGCGGUGGAGCAUGUGGUUUAAUUCGAUGAUACGCGAGGAACCUUACCAGGGCUUAAAUGUAGAAGGAAUGAUGUGGAAACAUGUCAGUCUUCGGACCGUCUACAAGGUGCUGCAUGGCUGUCGU